rnacentral:rRNA from 1 species
GAUGAACGCUGGCGGCGUGCCUAAUACAUGCAAGUCGAGCGAACAGACGAGGAGCUUGCUCCUCUAACGUUAGCGGCGGACGUGUGAGUAACACGUGGAUAACCUACCUAUAAGACUGGGAUAACUUCGGGAAACCGGAGCUAAUACCGGAUAAUAUAUUGAACCGCAUGGUUCAAUAGUGAAAGACGGUUUUGCUGUCACUUAUAGAUGGAUCCGCGCCGCAUUAGCUAGUUGGUAAGGUAACAGCUUACCAAGGCAACGAUGCGUAGCCGACCUGAGAGGGUGAUCGGCCACACUGGAACGGAGACACGGUCCAGACUCCUACGGGAGGCAGCAGUAGGGAAUCUUCCGCAAUGGGCGAAAGCCUGACGGAGCAACGCCGCGUGAGUGAUGAAGGUCUUCGGAUCGUAAAACUCUGUUAUUAGGGAAGAACAAAUGUGUAAGUAACUAUGCACGUCUUGACGGUACCUAAUCAGAAAGCCACGGCUAACUACGUG